UGAAGGUUUAAAUUGCCGCAGUAUUUUGACUGUGCAAAGGUAGCAUAAUAAUUAGUUUCUUAAUUAGAAGCUGGAAUGAAUGAUUGGACGAGAAAAUUUCUGUCUCUAUUUAAUUGUUUGUUGAAUUUUAUUUUUAAGUUAAAAAGCUUAAAUGUUUGUAAAAGACGAGAAGACCCUAUAGAGUUUAAUAUUUCAAUUUUAUUUGAUUAUAGUAUUCUUUUUGAGUUUGGAGUAUUUAAUUGGGGUGAUUUAAAGAUUUAAAUAAUUCUUUAAUUUUUUAAUUGAUGAUAGUUAAAUUUUAAAUCUAUAAUUUUAAGUUUAAUAUAAAUUACCUUAGGGAUAACAGCGUAAUUUUUCUUUAAAGCUCUUAUUAAAAGAAGAUUUUGCGACCUCGAUGUUGGAUUAAAAUUAAUUUUUGGUGCAGUAACUUAAAAAUUGGGUCUGUUCGACCUUUAAAAUUUUACAUGAUCUGAGUUUAAACCGGUGUAAGCCAGGUUGGAUUCUAUCUUUAAAUAUUUUUUAUAUUUUAGUACGAAAGGACCAAAUAUAGAUUAUAAUAAUUG
rnacentral:rRNA from 1 species